rnacentral:rRNA from 1 species
GGGAUAAGCCUGGGAAACUGGGUCUAAUACCGGAUAGGACCAUGCUUUAGUGUGUGUGGUGGAAAGUUUUUCGGUGUAGGAUGAGCCCGCGGCCUAUCAGCUUGUUGGUGGGGUAAUGGCCUACCAAGGCGGCGACGGGUAGCCGGACUGAGAGGUUGGUCGGCCACAUUGGGACUGAGAUACGGCCCAG